rnacentral:rRNA from 1 species
GUUUAUAGCCAUACCACCCUGAAUGUGCCCAAUCUUGUCUGAUCUCAGAAGCAAACCAGGGUCAAGCCUGAUUAGUGCUUGGUAGGGAAAAAAUUAAUUUGCAUUUAUAACUC